CCUACUUAAGUAAAAUAAUUAUUAAAAUAAGACUGACCGUUAAAACAAAAACUAUUUUUAAAAUUUUAUUUGGUAUUUUCUGAGGUUAAAAAAAUGACUAUAAAACGUAAAUGAACCUAUUUUUUGUAAUUCAUUUUCUUGUAAUAAAAUAAAAAUAAAAGAGUAAAAUGAGUUGAAAUAUAUAUAUUAGGCCUAAAUUAAAUAUUUAUAUAUUAAAAUGUAAAAAAUCUUGGGGAGGGUCAAAAAUCACAUGUCUACAUGGUCCUGAAACGCCAAAAAAUGAGGAGCGAUCAUAGAGAGGCGAUGGAUAUUGUUCCUUAGGUAGUUUUUGAUGGGCCGAGCAAAUUUUAGGUGAUAGGGGUCCGAUCGCCCGGGCCGAUGCAGAUGACAUAGGCUAUAACACAUAAAAAUUUGGGAAUCAGGCGGAAUUUCAAUUUUAUGAUCCUAAAACGUCAAUAAAAGGGGGAAAGGUCAUGAUUAUUUUUCCUUAAAUCAUUUUUUAUGGGCCAAAAUUGUUUUAGGUGAUCCGGUCACUCGGGCCCAUACAGAUGGUGUGGGCUUUAACACACAAAAUUUUGGGAAUUAGGCGGAGUACCAAUUUUAUGGCCCUAAAAUAUCAAAAAUAAGGAACGAUCAUAGUGAUACGAUGACUAUUGUUACUUAGGUAGAUUUAGUUGGGUCAACAAAAACUUAUGUAAUACGGGUCUAGUUGUCGGGGCCCAUGCAGAUGACAUGGAAUAACACACGAAAAUCUAGGAAUUAGGGAGGGAGGGUGAGGGGGAGGAAUUCCAGUUUGAUGGACCUAUAAUGUCAAAAAUGAGGAACGGUCAUGGAAAUGCGAUAACUAUUAUUUCUUAGCUCAUUAUUUAUGGCCGUCAAAAUUUUAAUCGAUUCGAUUUCGAUCGCCCGAGCCCAUACAGAUGUAGUGGGCUUUAGCAUACAAAAAUCUAGGAAUCGAGCAAAAUUCCCUAUGGCCUUAAAAUGCCAAAAAAUGAUGAACAAUCAUGGCGAGGCGAUGACUAUUGUUCCUUAGGUAGUUCUGGAUUGGCCAAGUAAAUUUUAGGCGAUCCUAGUCCUGUCACCCGACCUAUGUAGAUGACCUGGACUAUAGCACAUAAAUAUUUGGGAAUCGGGCGAAAUUUCACAUGGCCAUAAACCGCUAAAAUUUGAUGAAUGACAUAGCAAGGCGAUGACUAUUAUUCCUUAGAUCAUUUUUGAUUAGCCGAUAAAAAUUAUAAAAGAUUUAGAUUCUCUCGCACGGGCCCAUGCAAAUGGCGUGUGCUAUAGCCCACGAAAAUCUGUGGAUCAAGCAGAGUUCAAGUUUUAUGGCUCUAUAAUAACAAAAUACGAGAAAGGUCAUGGAGAGGUGAUGACUCUUGUUCCUUAGGUCGUUUUUGAUAGACUGGCUAAAUUUUAGGCAAUCCGAGUUCGGUCAUUUGGGCCCAUUCAGACGACAUGGUCUAUAGCACACGAAAUUCUAGGGUUCGAACAAAAUUUCAGUUAUAUGGUCUUAAAAUUCUAAAAAAAAAUAAGAAAUGGUCAUGGGAGGCAAUGACUAUUGUUCCUUAGGUAAUUUUUUAUGAGCUGACAAAAUUUUAUGUUAUCCAGGUAUAGACGCCUGAGUUCAUGUAGAUGACAUGGCACACGAAAGUCUAGGAUUUAGGGGAUAAUUCUAGUUUUAUGUCCCUAAAAUACCAAAAAAAUGAGGAACAAUCAUGACAAGCCCGAUGACUAUUGUUCCUUAGAUCAUUUUUAUGGACCGAACUUUUUUUAAUUUAUCUAGAUUUGAUUGUGUAGGCACAUACAGAUGACAUGAGCUAUAGCAUACAAAAAUCAAGGAUUCACGUGGAAUUCCAUGCAUAUGGUCCUAAAACGCCUAAAAAUGAGAAACGAUCAUGGAGAGAUGAUGCCUAUUAUUCCUUGGUCUAUUUUAUGGGCCAGCAAAAUUUUGAUGCAAUCCGGGUGCGGUCGGCUAUGCUCAUGCAGAUGGGAUGGGAUAUAGCAUACAAAAAUUUGGGAAUCAAACGAAAUUCAAGUUUCACGGACCUAAAAAGCCAAAAAAGAUGAACAGUCAUGGUGAAACGAUGAUUAUUGUUCUUGAAAUCAUUUUUGUGGGCCGACAAAUUUUUAGGAGAUAAGUGUCACACCUCUUUUUCUACCACCCGAGGGGAAUUAUUUUUAUUUCAUUUUUUCAGAGUCGCCACUUUGAAUAGUUUAUUUGAUGUCCCAAGUCGUCAAUUUAUUUUUAAAAUUCCCAAAUUGAGAAAAAUCGACUUUGUUUAAAAGUCUGCAAAAUCAAAAAUUCUAAGUAAGGAAUUCUGUUAAUCCGGGAGAAGGUGUUAGGCAUUCCAGGGUCCCAUGGUUCUAGCAUGGUCGCUUAAACUAUUGAUAAUUGGCUUAAAUAUCUGAUUUAUUAUAUGUUCUAAAACCUAAUGUGCAUUUUAACUUUAUAACUGCUUUUAACUAUUUAUAAAAUUAUUCUGGAACAAGUUACGAUUGUCGUACACUUAUUUGUCCGAAUUGUAUUAUGGGAACCGUAUCCACGAUCUACAACAUAUUUAAUUUAUUAAUAUUAUUAGAAGUUGUGGCCGAGUAACAUAAAUAUAACCGGAAUUUGAAAAUUAUGUAUCACAACUACAUCACGGGAACCGUUCCCGUAGCUAUAAUAAUUUUAUUAUAAACACGCAUAAACAAACUACGAAUGUUCAAAGUGUUCUCCAUACUAGUUAUGAACGUUCCAAAUAUUUUUCACAUUGGUUUUAGUAUUAAUGUGAGUGCCAUAGAUUAUGGGAUUCAUUUGUGUAUGGAACGCCUCAAUUUGUUUCAAAAAAAUUAUACUCAACUAUAGUAAAUUACGAAUGUUCAUAUUCAAAACUAAUUUGGAGUUCAACAUAAGGCUACUAAUUGUAACUAUACAUUGGGUAAAUAGCUAGGCCUUUAAUUAUUUGAAAACAACUGGGCCAGUAUCAAGCCUAAUAUAUUAUCUAAAAUGACCUUUAAGAAAAAUAUGGUUGAUGGGAACUAGGCUCAAAAUUGAGCCCAAGAAUGAGGACAAAGGGGCAAGCGGCCACAAUAGCUACGAUUGGACCAAAUACCAGGCCCAACUUUUCACGAAUAAGACUCCGGUAUUAGGAACCCAUUUUUAUUAUACUAAAAAGAAAACUUAAUGGAUAAAAUUACUGAACGUAACUGGGCUCAAAAUUGAGCCCAAAAAGUGAAGGGAUACAUGAUCAAAAUACGUUGAGCCUGGUUCCAACAAGGCUGCCUCAUCUGGGUCAAAGCUAGGCCCAAUUGCUUCUAGCAUGAGGGCCUUCAACAUUAAGGCCCUACUGAGGCUUAUCCAUAUAACAAAACAUUACACAAUUUCUGAAAAUCAAAGUGCUGAACAAGCAUAUUUUGGGGCUUAAUUCAUUACCAUGCCAUUAGUACUACCAAUAAAAGAUUGAACCCUAAACUUAUUUAUGAAUCAGCUUAAACCUAAAUAUACAAACGUUUUGACAAAUGUUGAAAUUUGAGAUAAUUUAACACUGUCCCUUAUAGUACAUAUCUAACUUCCCCUAAUAAGGACCAAAUCAACUACUAGGGAUAUUAAGCAUUUUAAAACUGUCAAACAGUACUUGGAGCAAAUAAACUAAUCCGAUUGUUCAUAUAGAUAACAAAGCUAUAGAAUAGAAUACUAGAUUUAGGAUACCUAAACAAACAAAGACAUAAAUAUUAAACUAUAUAACUUGCAAACAACAUACAUAAGGAAAACUUGAAUUUAACACUUGAACAACUAACGUCUUAUUACAUUAAAGACUGAACACAUGCUUAGAGCUUCAGUUUGUCACUCAAAAGUUCAUAGAGGUACCUGGAUGUCAAGAACAAAUACAAGAAUGAAGUAAGGAUUUCAGCAAGCAAUAAGCGAGGACAAUAGCACAUCACAGCAGUACACAGCUUUAGAUUAAUCCAUGCCCGAAUCAGAAAACCAGAAAUCCCCUAAAAGGUUUCUAAAUUUUUCCUAAAGAAAAUCAGAAGAAAAUCGAACCAGCUAUCAAUGAAACAGUGUUGAACCUUUUUUUAAGUUCUUUUGGGUUUUAAAAAUAUAUCCUAAUGAAAGAGUAACUUUUCUUUAUAUAGGGCGUACAGAAAAAGUAUCCAAAGAAUAUUCUGAUCUAAAUUGUUUUGAUAGUACAUCAUAUUGACAGAGAAUAAUGUACAUGUGUCCAACUUUUCAGCAUCUUUUACACAAAUUCGACAACUGGUACUCUUCUAGAACUUUCUCAUAUGUCUGGGCCAAUUAUCAUGGCCAAAUGGCCCAAGACAGGGCCAAAACAGGCCCAACUCCAAUUAACAAUUCAGGCCUUCACUGGCCUAACCAGAAUCAAAUAUCAAAGUGAAAAAACUAUCAUCAAAUUACCCCAUUGAACAUUCUGAAAUUAAUCAGUACCCAAUCACUAACUAAACUCACUUAAAAGGCAAAUAAUCCUGAGAGAUAUGUAAAUAAGUUAAUAACUAGUUAAUUUAACUUGAUUAACCUAAAAACUAUGCAAAUGACCAAUUGGAAUUAAUUGAACUUAAACAAACUAAAAACUAGUUCAAACCAUUGAAUAAUAAGAACUAAUUCAAAACAAGAUAAUAAAACUAAUUUACAUAACUAAAUAAUCCAAACUAAUUCAAACAAGUAAAAUACCCGAAUUAAUUUAAACGAGUAGAUAAGAAAACUAAUUUAAAUAACUAAAUACUCAAACAAAUUCAAAUAAGUAGAUAAUCACAAUUAAUUCAAACAAGUAAUAGAAAAAUCCGAAAACAGAAACUAAACAAAAAAAAGAAAAGAAAAGAAAGAGGAAAGCUACUGGUUUUUAACUGAAAUGAAUUAAGGACUGAAGCAACUCAACGAAUGAUGAGGGUGUUGAACUUUGAUGGGUAUCAGUGACUUUGAUCAGAAGCUGGCGACUCUCAAAACAAACCAAAACUAACGCUAAUCAAUUGUUCUUAUCAAGAGCAAUUGCUUAAUGUAAAUCUCGAGUCAAAUCGCUCUGUGGAAGCAUAGAAAUUGGAGUUAGGAACAGAUUAGGUUUUUUUUUUGAAUUUUAGAUUUGAAAUUAAGAAAAAUGGAUGGGAAUUCAAAGAAAACUAAUGUUAGAGUUGUGCUUUGGGGGGGGGG
rnacentral:lncRNA from 1 species